UACAGAGGUGCCAAGCGUUAGGCGGAAUCACUGGGCUUAAAGCGUGUGUAGGCGGACUUUUAAGUGCCUUGUGAAAUCCCACGGCUCAACCGUGGAACUGCUGGGUAUACUGGAAGUCUUGAGCCACCUAGGGGCCAGCGGAACAAAUGGUGGAGCGGUGAAAUGCGUAGAUAUCAUUUGGAACGCCGAUGGUGAAAACAGCUGGCUGGGGGUGUGCUGACGCUGAGACACGAAAGCUAGGGGAGCAGACGGG
rnacentral:rRNA from 1 species